rnacentral:rRNA from 1 species
CACGUAGGGCGCGAGCGUUGUCCGGAAUUAUUGAGCGUAAAGAGCUCGUAGGCGGCCUGUUGCGUCUGCUGUGAAAUCCCGGGGCUCAACCCCGGGCGUGCAGUGGAUACGGGCUGGCUAGAGGCAGGCAGGGGAGAACGGAAUUCCCGGUGUAGCGGUGAAAUGCGCAGAUAUCGGGAGGAACACCGGUGGCGAAGGCGGUUCUCUGGGCCUGUACUGACGCUGAGGAGCGAAAGCGUGGGGAGCGAACAGG